GCCCCCCCCCCCCCCACACACACACACACACACCAACAAAGAGGCGUUAGGCUGAGACGCUGAAAGUCCGGAUUUAAAGUGCAGAAAAUUAAGCCAUUGAAUCUGCCUGUCCAUGACGUACAAAGACACACUAUGAGCCAGUAUGAUCCGACCAGACCUUACAUCAGCAUUGAGGAGUUGUCGGAGAAGAAAGAGGCUGAUUGAAGCGGGACAGAUGACAUGGAUCCAUCCUUCCACAGCCAGGAGCGCACCGACCUGUGUCCCACACUUCAUAUAAGACUGGAAGCUACACUGAUCUCACAGCUACACACCACAGACGUCUACACACUGGAGAAGAUUCAGACAGAGUCCCACAAAGAAGUCAUGACCCAGAGGCUGCAGAGAAACAUUUCAAGCCUCAUCUGAGUUUUUGUACGAUAUUUUUGCUGUAUGU